UCUCUGGAUCCCUUUUGAAGUCAGCAGAGUGAGACAUCUGUCCAGCCCUGUUUGAGUUUACUUCCCACUCAGCCACCACAUCUCAAUUAGCCGAUCUGAUGUUUCUGUGGAUGUGUGCGCGUGUGUCUGGGUGUGUCCAUGUGUAUGGAUUUGGUUUUGUUUGUGCGGCUGAGGUGACGGACAGGCUGAUGGGAAGAUAAUAUGCCGAGAACAACAACCGAAAGGGACCUUGGAUUCAUUCAUCGUGACGAUAAUGAAUUUGAGAGAAAAUCCUUGUCUGUUCAUUAGCUAUUGAGUCUAGAUGACACAGCUUUCCUGAAGCUGUCAGCCACAGAUGUCCCCCGCUGAAGGAGUCUGCAGCACCUGAGUCCUUUCAGGCUAAUAAGGUUGCAAUUAGCAGAGCAGCGAGAGACCCUGAGAAAGGGUCUCUCGAUUUAGAGUGAGAGGCACAAAAGUGAUCUUUGUGACUCCUUUUUUUAAUUUAGUUCCACUCGGAGCUUUCAAACAAUUCAGAUAACAUUUUAGUUUGCAUGGAGCUUGUUCAGAUGACGUACUCUCAUCAUGUAUCACAUUCAAUUUAAUUAUUUAUUUGAUCUCUCUUUGCCUAGGUAGGAGUGAUCCAACUCAAACCUUUAAGAACUGUUAAAAAAACAACAUUGAUGGGCAGUAGUUAAUCUACAAACACAAACAACCCCAGUAUAGGGACUGAGUAACUGUGGGAACUAACAUGUGCAAAGGAAACAAGGGGACAAACAAACUAAACAUAACAUGAAACACAGACGCCAAAUUCACCAAAACACAUCAAACAAACUAAAACCUUAAAAGUUACCAACUAAACUAAAGUCUUUCAAGUACGGUAGAGUUAUUUAAGCUUUUAAGAACAGUCCAUACGUUUUGAAUGAAGGUAAAGUAGGGUAAUUUUUUUCUAUAGCACAGUUUCAGUAUCGAGGCAUUUCAAAGUGCUUUACAUGAAUUAGAAGGGAAGACAAACAAAACAAUAAAACCAAAAGAAAAACAAAAAGGUAAAAGUUCAAACCGAAUAUUGGUUCCCCAUGUUUAAUAAGAGUAAGAACGAAUAGUCCAUAAUUUAUAAACUAACAGGGGUUUCUCUGGAUCUUCAGUUUGUUUUGGAUUAGAGAGGAAGAAAAAAACUAAACGUAGGCUCUCCAAACCGAGGCUAUUCCAGAAAUUUAACAUCAAUCUGCAUGAAUUAUUCGAAUGGGUAUUGAAUCCUCAAUACCCAUUUUAUGAACUGCACCAAUCUCACUGACAGAAAAGCAGUCCCACAGCAUGAUUCUCCCACCUCCGUGCUUGAUAGUUGGUCCACGGUUCUCACGUCCCCUAUUAUAGAGGCAGGACAGCUUCGCCUUUUAUAGUGGGAGUUUCCUUCUUGGUCAUCACUGUGUCAAGUCAUGGCAAUAUGAAAUUUGCUUUACAGUAGAAACCAGUUGACAAACUUAAUUUAAAGCACACAACUACAUAAAUAUGUUGGUAGAUUCAGCUUUAUGUAAUUUGACCUGUUUUAGGGCUGGUAAAAUAACAUUAUGCAGGCUGUCCAGUUGUGGACAGUUAGAAUGUCCAACUGGACAUUUUAACUGGAUUAUUUAUUGAAAAUUCUGCUAGUUUUGCACCAGAUGUAUUGGAGCAAACGCGUUCCUAAAACUUCCACUCCAUUUCCAGAGGCUACUCCUGAGAAGAUUCGCCACCGCUCCAUGUUUUCUUCAUCUGGAAGAGCAGCACUCACUGUGGUUCAAAGGAGGCGCAAAGCUUAAAAAUGGCUCGCAAAACAGUCCAGACUGAUUGGUGUCAAUUACUUUGCUUCUCAACUGUUCAGAUGUGAGGUUUUUUUAAUCUUUUGGCCUACUUCAUGUUGUCAGACAGGUUGAGUAUUCAGGUCCCAGGAGUCUCUUAAGGUUAGCAAAGUGACUGUUGGCUCAGCUGUUCGACUGACAGCGGUAAUGGUAUUGGUCCAGGUUUUCUUGCAGCACCAAAGGUGGUGUUGGACAGAGGUGACCAAAUCAUGGAGGAGCAGGGUCAGGGAAGGUAAGCGAUGACGCAGCUUGAGUCACUCUUCAUUGUUUCUCCUUCCUGAACAGAUUGUGUUGGAGAGCAGACGGGCAGACAUAGGUGAUCUAGAGGAGAUCCAAAGGGGAAUGAAAGUCUGGAGUAGAAGGGAUUGGAGAGGAGCGAAGACUGUCAACUCCAACUUGUGGAGACCAAGGCAAAGUGACUGUGACCAGUGGACAUGGAUCACCCAGUGGAAACCAUAAUUUACUGAUAGCACCCUGUCUCCUCUCUCAGCUGGCAGGCCAUCAUUACAUCAAGCACUGGAAGAAAGGUGCUGUGAGAAAUGGAAAAAGGACUUUCAAGAAAAUGUCAGAGACAAUCACAUCCUUAAAUUUACUCUUUACACUCUGAUUCCACUGAUUGCCCAAUAUUUUGUGUAAAUGUGAUUUCAGCACAUCUGGACCACAGCACAAAUGGUGCCUUGCAGAAGUAUUUAUACCGCCUGAAUAGAUAUGAGAUAGAUGUUAAAGGCUACUCGGAAAUUUUGAAAAAUGUACAAUGCAUUUGUACAUUUCUUCGUCACACACAAAAAAAAGGUCACCUUGUGGAGACAUAGAUGUAAACUACUUUACAUCUAUGUGCUGUAAUCUUUGUAAAAAUAAAAAUAAAAAUGCAGCUGAUCUGUGAUAGUCUUGGGAGUUUGCCAGAGAACAUUGUUUAAGAAAAAACAUGACAACAUGAAAACACACCAGGGAUAAAGUUAAGUAGAAGUUUGAAAGCACUACAAUGACUGUGAACCUCUCAUGAAGUUAUUUUUAACCUAUCAAUCAGACAUGGACAGAUCAUGACACAGCUGGAGCUAAAUACACUCCAACUGUUUUUGCUGUUGGAGUAAAACAGACGACAGCAAAUACCCACCAGAGGCUUUCUAGGGACAGAUUAGAUCAAAGUACAUUCAUAUGCCUCGUUUAGGUGUAGUCAAAGCCCACACCUAAAUCCAAAUGAGAAACUGCAGCAAAAUUGAAAGCUGAUGUUCAGAGAUGCUUGAUGUUGCACAUCGGUAGAGACAUAUCCCCAAAGGACUUGAAGCAAUUACAGCAACAGGUGCUUCUACAAAAUAUUAGCUCUGAAUGUGCAUGUACACUGUGCUUUUUAGAGUUUGAUUUGUUUGAAAAAAUGGAAAGAAAUGUGCUUAUUUACCUGCACGUGGCAAUCAUGUACUAGCCUGUAUUGAUCUAUCAGAUAAAUCCAAUUAAAUGACUGGAGAAUUUCUAAUUGUAAUGUGUCAAAAUCUAAAGGAAUUAAUUGGGUGUGAAUACUUUUGUGAGGCACCGUGGACUCAAGGACUGGGUAACUGCAGCUCUCCUUUUCUAGUCUCAGUUCCAGAAAACCUCACCAUCUUAAUAAUCUUAGCCCCUUAGCUGGCAUGUUUUCCAAGAAUCCGCUGCAUUUUUUGUUAGCAAAAAUUGUCACAAACUUUUCAUGACUAUUCCUAUUUAUUGUGUAAGCAGAAAACAGUCACCUUACACAGAGUUAAUGCCUGUUAAAGGGAAUCAAUCAAAACUCUGCUGUCUGUUUUCUGUUCGGCCAUGGCCCUCAGUCACUGUGGUAAGUGGGAGCAAUUUUAAUUUGAAAACAAACCUCUGGCAGGUUCUUUUUAUGCAGACACAAGAAAGGAAAUAGUGCUUAGUUAUGUUCUAAUUAACAUAUUUCUGGUGUGAGAGUGUGCAUGUCACAUGUUAUUGUUUAGGUUCAGAGCCACUGGCUUGUUUUACAGCUGAUGAUGUGAUUUUGGUUGGUUUUAGAGGUAAAAGAAGGGAAAAAAAGAAGAAAAGAAGAGCAAAUUAAAUAAACUGAAAAUGUUCUUCCCUGUGUAAAGAUAAUAAUGCACAAAAAAUAAAAUGUAUUUUCUAAUUCAGAAGUAAAUUAACUCAUCAAAGUAAAAGUUGCAGAAAAAGUUUCAGCAUUUAAAAUAUGUAUUAAUUCCAAGGCCUAAAUGUGCCCUCAAUUAUUUUACUGUUGCCCCUUAAGUAAUUGAUUUUGGGCAGAGAAAAACACGAGGUGGAGGGGUGAUCCUUGUUGUUAUGAAAAAAAAAUACAAAACCAAUAAAUGGGAAAAUAACUGACGUUGUAAUUCCUGUGAGUGCUGUAACCUUGCUUUAUUGAUUUGCUUUUUUUUCAUAAAAGACAUUUGAGUUACAGCCUCAAAAUUGAACCCAUGAUACCAUAAGUCACAAUAAUUUGUCUAUUUUUGAAUUUUUUUUCUCUCUCUUUCUCUUUCACUGACGUGAACAGGCGAACAGUGAACGGACAACAACAACAAAAACAUGCAUAGAGACAAGAUAAUGAGCUUCUCAGGUGACUACAUGCAGUGAUUACCAGGUUUCUGGUGUUACCACAAAAACCUGCGCUCUGUCUUUGCACACACACGCCUGCACACUCUUGAGAGAUCCUUGGUUAUCACACCCUUCCAGAUUGUUACCAACUACUUAUGGAAAACACACACACACGCGCGCGCGCACACACACACACACACACACACACACACACACACAUCUCAAGAUGUGGCCACUCUUGCCAAUAUGAGCACAGUGUUAAGAACAGUUGUUGUUUCGUGCAAAUAUAUAUGUGUGCGUGUGUGUGUGUUUGUGGGGGUUUUUUAGUAUCUCUAAAUUCCUAGCGUUGCUAAGGUGCUUUGGGAGGGGGAUUAACAGACGCUGGCGCCGAUGAGCAAGCCUCGCAGAUUUCCAACCGGCAGGAAAAGAGACAAAGAAAGACGGGAAAGACGGAGGAAGAGCAGCAGCGGGUAAGACAACAGGGAGACGACAGUAACAGCUUGUGUAAACACGAUGACUUAAGAGACGCAAAGAGGGGUAAGGCGACAGAACAGGUAUACUAAGCGACUGGUUUGAACUUUUAACCAGACCCGUGGGAAAAUGUUUUUUUAUAUAUAUAGCCUAUAUUGUGUUCUCUCCAUCUCCUCGCCGUCUUCCUCUCUAUUACUUCCCAUCUCUUCAUUCCCAACCCUAAGGGCAAUAAUUUCAGAUCGAGACGCUUUUGUGUCGCUGUUUUGUUUUGUUUUUUUUCUUCAAACUUCAAACACUGUCAGCAUUGAGGUCACGCUGCUGCGCCCGGAGCAUCGGUGACUGCGCUGUCUCAGGUGAACAUCUCUCCCAGCGCGUCCUUUACGACUCUCCCCUUCCCUUUCUACUGAUAUCAAAAGUCUGUACACCGCUGGUAAAAAAAGAAAAAAAAAAAAAAAAAAAAGUUUUUCUGCAUUAUUCAACUGGAAAACAAACAGAUCUGUUGGAGGGAAAAAAUCUGCAAUAAUACAUGCACAAUCUGGAAUGAAUAAGUCAUAUCUUUAAAGCAUAUUUUCAUUACAUUGCAACAGUCUGUGUUUUUGGGGUUCAGAUCUAACAUCUGUUAACGUUAAUUUGAUCAACUUUAAACAAAGUUCAGCUGCACUUUGUUAAUUGCUUCUUUCAUCCUUCAGCUAAAUCCAUAGCUUGAGGGGAAGCUACACAUUAUUAAGAUGAUCCUGUUGUGGAGGUAUCAAUGAAGAAGAAAGGCGCAAAAAAAAAAACUUCACAGCUUUACAUACACACCAGUGCCAGAGUGAAUCGAGUGACAUUACUAAAACCGGACUUUUCUCCAAAAUAUACACUGACAAGAUGAAAAUUGAGGCCACCAAGAGAAUGACAGCAUCGCUCAAGAGGUUUCAGGAGUUCGUGGUUUGUGCUGGUUGUGAUCUGCAUGUGAUGACAGUUUGCUGUUUUUCCUAGAUGUUUGGACUCAUGAGUAGGAUGGAAAGACAGAACCAGUUUCUUCCAAAUAAAACAUUAAUACCUGGCUAAAACAUCCCAUGUGUUAGGAUGGGAGUUUUAGAGUGGCCAAGGACAAGUCUAAAUAUUAUAGAUCCAGGAGGCUUUGGACAAGAGAAGGUGUCACAAUCUGAUAGAUUUGGUGGAUUUGGCACAUAUCGUCAUAUCAAGACGUAGGAACCUGACUCCUAUUAAAAAUGCUGAAAACUGAAACUGAAUCAAAAAGUGCUUUAACAAGAUGUUGAUUUUAGGGUUUGCAGGUAUGAAAGCAAUUUGUUGGAUUUUGCUCAUCUUUCAGAUUUUUCAACCACAAAUAUUUCUUUUUUUUAAUGUAAUUGUACUGAAUCUGUCACAUUGUGAAUGUAGAUACAGACUUAUUCAAUACGUUACUGAAAAGUCUAUUUAUUUUAGGAACUUUAUUACUAAGUGAAAUACAUUGUAUAGAUGAACUGCACACAGAAAGAUGUUUGAAAGCCUUUUCUGUGUUCACUAUGAUAAUUUUUCUCUUGCAGCUGAUGAAAACACAUUUAAAACUAGGAUAUUGCAUCAGACCAUUAGAAAAAGCAGUAUGUAUAGAAACAGAAAAGUGGGUUUAGUAAAAAGUAUGUCUAAAACCUCUUUGAAGGUUGUCAUUGUCGAAAGGUGCUUUUAUUCUGACAAAGGAGACUCAUUGGGACAUAUAUUGCAAUUUAUUGAAUGACUGUAUUAAAAAUGACGUUUUCUUCAACCAAAGUAGGUGUAGCUUUAGGGUCAGGGUGGUCUAGAUGCUUGUUUUUCUUUAAUCCACUCCCCAGACUCGGCUUCUCAGGUAAAAUGUAACUAGACGCCGCCUGUUUGUGGAGUACAAGGCACUUGACCAAGGGCCAGCACUGCUCCUCCUUCAUCUCCCAUCCCCUCCCUCCCCUAUCCUUCCCCUAACUGGAUCAGUUUACCAGCCCCCCAGCCACCCACACCUCCACUCCUUCCCGAUCCCUCACUGAAAGGUAAUGUAUUUUCCAGCCACAUCACUGUCGGAGGAAGUCAAAACGCAUGCGUCUGUAUAUUUGUACACCGUCCAGACAGGUGUUUGAGACCUUGUCUGGACCUCGGCAGCUGGGCUCCUGUAACCAUGCCCGUCUCUCUGCAAGGGGUUGGCUAGAGUGACUGAGUUGGCCGAGGUGCGGCGGCGGCUGUCUUUCAACCACUGAUCCCUGAGAACUACUCACCUGAUCAGCCUGGAUCUGCGCUACGCGGCUGCCGGGGUCACACAACCCAACCCCGGGGUCAAGCAGCUAAUUACAGAUCCCUGUGUCCUCCGUCUCUGUCACCGCUGGGAAAAUGGCGAAGGUGGGGAAAGAAGAGGCCUGAGAGGAGAGGGGAUGAAAGGAGAAAAUAUCGACUUAGACAUCAAAAGGUCAACACUGAGGGUAAACCAAGCUGUACAUUUCUUCCUCUUGCGGAAUAAAAUAAAAAUAGACUGAAGUUCUGUGAGGUUCUGGAGCAGAAUCUACAUACUGGAUAUGGAUUUGUGUCUUUAAGCCUUUCUUCGUCUUCACUCUUUAAUACUUUCAGAAUUAGCCCAAAAUACAUUGCUUUGCAAACGUAUUCACACCUCUUGAACAUUUUCACUGUCUGUCACAUUAAAACCACAAACUGGAAGUAUUUUAUAGGGAUGUUGUGACAGAACAACACAAAGUAAUGUACCAAGUCUUUCAAUAGUGGGCUUCUUCUUACCGUUAGUUCAUAAGACACCAGCUGUGCUCCACAACUAAUCAUUGUCUGUUUUGACAGAUUCUUCCCCUUGCUGCAGAUGUUUCUCGGAUUGACCUUCUUGCUUCCCGUCGCCUGAUGGUUUAGGUGGACGACCAUGUACUGGUAGGUUUCCAGUUGGGGCUUUUCUCUUUUUCUUUUGAGAUGAUGGAUUGAGUAGUUCUGCAUGAGAUGUUCAAAGUGUGAGGUACUGUUUUACAAACCGUGCUCUAAACCUCUGCACAAUUGUAUCCCUGACAUGUCUGCUGUGUUCCUUGUCAUCAUGAAUUGGUUUGCUCUGUAAUGUUUCGAACCUCUGUGGGCUUUUCAGAGCAGCUGGACUCGUAUUGAGAUUGAAUAACAUGCAGGUUUAUGCUGUUUACUAAUUUGGUUACUUCUGAACUAACAAAUGAUCCGUUGGUUGCACUGAAUUGUAUGUUAUCAGAGCAGAAACUAUUUUUAAAUAUUUUUGUCUGUGGGCUAAAAUAUCAGCAUUUACUUCCAUUUCUUGUAAUACUUUGUGUUGGUGCACAAAAUCUCAGAAAACACAAAGAUGUCUGUAACAAAAUGUGUAACAGCAUCAAAGGACGUGAAUACUUUUGCAAGGCUGCUGUUUGACUAAAAGAGCUGUGUUACUUUAGAGCAUAUCGCAGCUCUAAAGUAACACAAACUCUCCUCUUUUGAGAAUGUUGUAUUUUCUUUCUGUCAUGAAAGAUUUUUUUUUUUUUUCUAGUGUGACCUUUUUUUUAUUUGCUGUCUCCACCGACUGAGCUGUGGGUUUUAAAAGAUGCUGCACACCGGCAAACAAAGUGAGCACACAUCCACACACACACACGUAUGUAUAAAAUGAGAAAAAAAAUAAAAAUAAAAUAAGCACUUACCAGACCGGUGUUACAUUAUAUUAGACUGCAGGUUCAUUAAUCACAAAUGCGAGGGCUUCUCAACCAACGUAGGAAAUUAAUCAAAGAAGGGGACAUUAAUCACAUGCAUGAACAGCAGUAGUUACACCUGUGACAAAGCCAUCUGAUUUAAACGUGUUGCUCCAGCCUGUGUUAAUGAUGCCACCCAGGGCCAGGCAAGGCAACCUCUCCGCCAUCACUGAAACAAUAAUGCGCUAACUAUGAAGCAAUUUUCUUAGGUGUAUG